rnacentral:rRNA from 1 species
ACUCCUACGGGAGGCAGCAGUGGGGAAUAUUGGACAAUGGGCGCAAGCCUGAUCCAGCCAUGCCGCGUGAGUGAUGAAGGCCCUAGGGUUGUAAAGCUCUUUCACCGGUGAAGAUAAUGACGGUAACCGGAGAAGAAGCCCCGGCUAACUUCGUGCCAGCAGCCGCGGUAGUACGAAGGGGGCUAGCGUUGUUCGGAUUUACUGGGCGUAAAGCGCACGUAGGCGGACUAUUAAGUCAGGGGUGAAAUCCCGGGGCUCAACCCCGGAACUGCCUUUGAUACUGGUAGUCUUGAGUUCGAGAGAGGUGAGUGGAAUUCCGAGUGUAGAGGUGAAAUUCGUAGAUAUUCGGAGGAACACCAGUGGCGAAGGCGGCUCACUGGCUCGAUACUGACGCUGAGGUGCGAAAGCGUGGGGAGCAAACAGGAUUAGAAACCCUGGUAGUCCC